GUACGGGGGGGGCAAGCGUUGUUCGGAAUUACUGGGCGUAAAGGGCUCGUAGGCGGCCAACUAAGUCAGACGUGAAAUCCCUCGGCUUAACCGGGGAACUGCGUCUGAUACUGGAUGGCUUGAGUGUGGGAGAGGGAUGCGGAAUUCCAGGUGUAGCGGCGAAAUGCGUAGAUAUCUGGAGGAACACCGGUGGCGAAGGCGGCAUCCUGGACCAUUACUGACGCUGAGGAGCGAAAGCCAGGGGAGCAAACGGG
rnacentral:rRNA from 1 species